UACGAAGGGGGCUAGCGUUGUUCGGAAUUACUGGGCGUAAAGCGUGCGCAGGCGGCUUCUCAAGUCAGGGGUGAAAGCCCAGAGCUCAACUCUGGAACUGCCUUUGAGACUGAGAGGCUUGAGUACGGGAGAGGUGAGUGGAAUUCCCAGUGUAGAGGUGAAAUUCGUGGAUAUUGGGAAGAACACCGGUGGCGAAGGCGGCUCACUGGCCCGAAACUGACGCUCAUGCACGACAGCGUGGGGAUCAAACAGG
rnacentral:rRNA from 1 species